rnacentral:rRNA from 1 species
GAUGAACGCUGGCGGCGUGCCUAAUACAUGCAAGUCGAGCGAACGGACGAGAAGCUUGCUUCUCUGAUGUUAGCGGCGGACGGGUGAGUAACACGUGGAUAACCUACCUAUAAGACUGGGAUAACUUCGGGAAACCGUAGCUAAUACCGGAUAAUAUUUUGAACCGCAUGGUUCAAAAGUGAAAGGCGGUCUUGCUGUCACUUAUAGAUGGAUCCGCGCUGCAUUAGCUAGUUGGUAAGGUAACGGCUUACCAAGGCAACGAUGCAUAGCCGACCUGAGAGGGUGAUCGGCCACACUGGAACUGAGACACGGUCCAGACUCCUACGGGAGGCAGCAGUAGGGAAUCUUCCGCAAUGGGCGAAAGCCUGACGGAGCAACGCCGCGUGAGUGAUGAAGGUCUUCGGAUCGUAAAACUCUGUUAUUAGGGAAGAACAUAUGUGUAAGUAACUGUGCACAUCUUGACGGUACCUAAUCAGAAAGCCGCGGCUAACUACGUG